rnacentral:rRNA from 1 species
UAAACUUCCCGUGUUGAGGAAGAUAAUGACGGUACUCAACAAGGAAGUGACGGCUAACUACGUGCCAGCAGCCGCGGUAAAACGUAGGUCACAAGCGUUGUCCGGAAUUACUGGGUGUAAAGGGAGCGCAGGCGGGAAGACAAGUUGGAAGUGAAAUCCAUGGGCUCAACCCAUGAACUGCUUUCAAAACUGUUUUUCUUGAGUAGUGCAGAGGUAGGCGGAAUUCCCGGUGUAGCGGUGGAAUGCGUAGAUAUCGGGAGGAACACCAGUGGCGAAGGCGGCCUACUGGGCACCAACUGACGCUGAGGCUCGAAAGUGUGGGUAGCAAACAGGAUUAGAUACCCUGGUAGUCCACACCGUAAACGAUGAUUACUAGGUGUUGGAGGAUUGACCCCUUCAGUGCCGCAGUUAACACAAUAAGUAAUCCACCUGGGGAGUACGACCGCAAGGUUGAAACUCAAAGGAAUUGACGGGGGCCCGCACAAGCAGUGGAGUAUGUGGUUUAAUUCGACGCAACGCGAAGAACCUUACCAAGUCUUGACAUCCUGCGACGRACAUAGAAAUAKNWCUUUCCUUCGGGACGCAGAGACAGGUGGUGCAUGGUUGUCGUCAGCUCGUGUCGUGAGAUGUUGGGUUAAGUCCCGCAACGAGCGCAACCCUUAUGGUCAGUUACUACGCAAGAGGACUCUGGCCAGACUGCGUUGAACAAA